rnacentral:rRNA from 1 species
ACGCUCGACACCUACGGUAGGCAGCAGUCGGGAAUAUUGCGCAAUGGAGGAAACUCUGACGCAGUGACGCCGCGUGCAGGAAGAAGGUUUUCGGAUUGUAAACUGCUUUAGACAGGGAAGAAAGAAAUGACAGUACCUGGUAGAAUAAGCUCCGGCUAACUACGUGCCAGCACGCCGUACGGUAAUCUGAGGCGGGCUGGACGAAGGC